rnacentral:ncRNA from 2 species
AGGAAACAUUUGGGGUGCUGACUAGCUGAGAUUAUACCCAUUGAACCUGAUACAGUUAAGACUGGCGCAGGGAAAUGUCUGUGAUAUACA